rnacentral:rRNA from 1 species
UACAGAGGUCUCAAGCGUUGUUCGGAUUCAUUGGGCGUAAAGGGUGCGUAGGCGGCGCGGUAAGUCGGGUGUGAAAUCUCGGGGCUCAACCCCGAAACUGCACUUGAUACUGCAGUGCUCGAGGACUGGAGAGGAGAUUGGAAUUCAUGGUGUAGCAGUGAAAUGCGUAGAUAUCAUGAGGAAGACCAGUGGCGAAGGCGGAUCUCUGGACAGUUCCUGACACUGAGGCACGAAGGCCAGGGGAGCAAACGGG